rnacentral:rRNA from 1 species
AUGGCGGAGGAACCGUCCGCCAAGCGUCAUCAUGCCGAGACGUCGAACAAGUGGAGCAACCUCGUCGACAUUAACGUCCCCGGCGAGAAGCGCGACUACACCAGAACGCUCAAAGGGGUUGAGCUCCACGGCAAGGAGACGCUGGAGAUCGUCUGCACCAGCGAACCAGACAAGGCCGACGAGAUGAUGAGCAGGCUCAGGAUGAAGGGCGGCGGCUUGUAUCCGAGCUUCAUCGGAGUUGAUGUGGAGCCCAAGCGCCUCAAAGACUUCCUGCGGGAGGAGAAAUUGUACACAUUUGUUGGUUUCAGCAUUGGAGGUGACAAGCGGAUGCUGCAGGAGUCCGGUUUGGAAAUCAACCCCAACAACUUCAUCGACAUGCAGCGCAAGUGGAAAGAUCCAAAGACCAGCAAAUACUACGACUCCCUGGCCGAUGUUGCAGGCGGCGUCAUCCACCCAUUCUACGAAGGCAUGAAGAAGAAGAUGAAUAGGGCAGACCACAAACUGUGGGGGAACAGCCCGCUGCCAGACAACCUCAUCACGUAUGCAGGAAUAGACGCGUACGCAACGUACAAGUCAUGGAAGACAAUCGACAACAUCGUGACAGGUUGGGAAAUUUCAAAAGAGCAGGAGGCUAACCCCUACUACCACUGCAACUUCACGGAUGAAGAUGCAUGA